AGUCGAACGGAAAGGCCCAGCUUGCUGGGUGCUCGAGUGGCGAACGGGUGAGUAACACGUGGGUGAUCUGCCUCUAACUUCGGGAUAAGCUUGGGAAACUGGGUCUAAUACCGGAUAGGACAAUCGUUUAGUGUCGGUUGUGGAAAGUUUUUUCGGUUAGGGAUGAGCCCGCGGCCUAUCAGCUUGUUGGUGGGGUAAUGGCCUACCAAGGCGUCGACGGGUAACCGGCCUGAGAGGGUGGACGGCCACAUUGGGACUGAGAUACGGCCCAGACUCCUACGGGAGGCAGCAGUGGGGAAUAUUGCACAAUGGGCGCAAGCCUGAUGCAGCGACGCCGCGUGGGGGAUGACGGCCUUCGGGUUGUAAACCUCUUUCGACAGGGACGAAGCUUUGGUGACGGUACCUGUAUAAGAAGCACCGGCUAACUACGUGCCAGCAGCCGCGGUAAUACGUAGGGUGCGAGCGUUGUCCGGAAUUACUGGGCGUAAAGAGCUCGUAGGUGGUUUGUCGCGUCGUCUGUGAAAUUCCGGGGCUUAACUUCGGGCGUGCAGGCGAUACGGGCAUAACUUGAGUGCUGUAGGGGAGACUGGAAUUCCUGGUGUAGCGGUGGAAUGCGCAGAUAUCAGGAGGAACACCGAUGGCGAAGGCAGGUCUCUGGGCAGUAACUGACGCUGAGGAGCGAAAGCAUGGGGAGCGAAUAGGAUUAGAUACCCUGGUAGUCCAUGCCGUAAACGGUGGGCGCUAGGUGUAGGGGUCUUCCACGACUUCUGUGCCGUAGCUAACGCAUUAAGCGCCCCGCCUGGGGAGUACGGCCGCAAGGCUAAAGCUCAAAGGAAUUGACGGGGGCCCGCACAAGCGGCGGAGCAUAUGGAUUAAUUCGAUGCAACGCGAAGAACCUUACCUGGGCUUGACAUAUACAGGACUGGG
rnacentral:rRNA from 1 species